CUGAGCGGCGGGCUUGGGAUUCUAGUCUCCUCCUUUGUGACUAUUUGGAGUUUCUAAGUUUUCUCUAGUGACUACUGUGGUGCUUUCUCAGUGAGAGACGGGUUUUCUAAGGCGCCUGCCGAAGUUGAGAGACCCGGCCCCGCGGGGCACGCGGCCCUUUUCCAGACUGCAGGACCGCUUGGUGCGGGGCCGGGAUCCGGCUACUGCUCGGGCCGCCCCCGCCGCCGGCCCGCCCCCGGCCCCGCCCCAGCUCCGAGCCCCGCCCCCGAGUCCCGAGCCCCGCCCCCUAGGGCUGCGGCGAAAACCCGGAGCGGCGGAUUUGCCGCGGCAGCGCCUCGGCAUCCUGCAGGCGACAGAGGCGAGCGCUGCCGGGGGCGGGUUGACGCCACUCCGCUCUCCCUGUCUCUCCUGGUCCCCGGCGAGCCCCGCCGGGGAGCGCCCCGACCCCCGCCGCGGACCGGGCAGCAGAAGCGGGUCAGGACCCGACUGAGCAUGCUCGCCGGCUCGCGGCCGCGUUGGGCGCCCAGGUGGACGCAGCCUGGCCUCCGGGUCUGGCCGCGCGGGGGUGGCGCAGGUGUGCGGUCGGGGCGCAGGUGCGCGGGUCUCGGCCAGGCCCGGCGAGGAGGGGUUCUGGCUCACAAGUGAGUGGAAUUAGAACGGUUAUUUCAGCGUUAGUUUCAUUGCCUCAAGAACUUUCAGCUCGUUUCUCUUUCAGGAAACCCGAGUCCUUCAUUCUUUUCUCCUGUUUUUAAUAAGCAUCCUUGACAAUUGCAUGAGGACACGAAAUUUUCACCUGCCUUUUUCAAAGAUUAGGGCUUUGUCCGCACUCAUGGAUCAUUGUACGGUGUUGUAGUCCUUUUUUUCUUCAGACAGUUCUUCUUUCCUCUGAGACGCCACGUUCUCCAGGACCCUGCAGAAUGCGCUGGUGCCACCUUGGAUGCACUUGAUCUGGUCGUGGGAACUUGUUUAUCGUCUUCCGUUUCGGAGAAGACAGAAAUGGAGAGCUUCCAGGGCAGAGAGUCUACAGGCUCAAGAGGAGUAAACUCAGGAACCCAGAGAGAUGCUUUCAGGUCUUAUGAGCUUCAAGUGCCUGAAAUUUCUGGUUUGCCUGCUUCUCAGUGGAGCUGACGGGUAUGUCUGCGGCUGGGGCUGUGCUCAGUGUCCACGUGUGUCCACGUGUCCACAGUGUAGGAUGCAGUGCGUGAUUAUUCAGCUGCUCAGUAAAGAGAUACGGGGGACAGGACCUCACCUGGAGCCUCAGGACAUGGACACACUGCCUGCUCACACUUCCAUGCACGUUGCCAGGCGUUUACAAUGAACGCAGCUGAGUGCUGAACACUGCCCCACCCCCUGUCAACCCCCUCCAGGUGGCUUUCACCCCCCUCUACGCCACGAAGCUGCUUUUCAGUGAUGCCUGUGACCCCCGUCUCAGUGAUUAACGGAGAUGACUCCCCUCCUUCCCUUUAAAACUUUCUUGGUCGAGCAGAAUCUCAGAAGUGGCUUUUGGGGCACAUGGAGUCCACCAUCUCUCCAGAUUGCCAGCAUCCUGAUUAAAGGAACCUUUCCUUUCCACCAACACUUCUCUCUCUUGAGUGUUGACUUUUGAGUGCUGAGGAGCCAGACCUGAUUGGGUAACCCCAAGUCUCACCUCCAGCCCUGACCUCUCUCCAAACUCCAGGUGGACACUUCCAGCUGCCUCAUCCACGUCUCCAUCUGGGUGUCCUUGGGGUCUUGCCACUCCCCCAGAUGCCUGCGUGGCUAAUGCCCACUUGAGUCUUUGCUCGCCUUCUCAAGGACCAGGCUAGCAUCCUGAUUUCAGGCUGCACCACGCUCCUUGCCAGCAUCCCUACCUUCUCUGCCAGGUGGCCCCACGGCCCUUUGUCCCAUCGAAGAUGCUAUGUGAUGUACUUGUGUAUUGUGUUUAUUACUUAUGGUCAACCUCCCGUGCUAGAAUGUAAGCCCCAUGAUAACAAGGGUCCUUAUUCACUGAUGGGUCACAGACGCUUAGAACUGUGCCAACAAAUAUGGGCAUUCAAAAAUACUGGUUAAAUAUGUGGAUCUAUCAUUUUGUUAAGCAAAAAACAAAAACAAAAACUCCAAAAACAAAGCCAAAACAACAACAAAAAACAACCCAGGGUCAUAUUGUAUAAAUAAACUGCUUUAGC